CGAGAUUUGUGUCUGUGAGACGCGCGAGUGAUCAUCAGGAAAAAGGGAAUAUAAAUGCGAUAAAGCGACAAGAAACACUAAUAUUCAAGCGGGUGGGUGGUGUUACAGACUCUCAUGCAGUCCAGAGAUUUCACUUGCAGCUGCUGUGCACAGAGACGACCGAAGAUACUGAUCUGAAUGGGAAGGAUGCAAAGUGAGUGCAGUGAGGACAGGAAAGGCAGGGGACAAAAUGUAGCAAACAGCCCAGACU